AUCAAAGAGAAUUUCCCUUUAGCUUAGCAAUGUGCUGAAGCUCUUAAAAGAUUGGAUCUGAGAGAGAGAGACAGAGAGGAGAAAGAGAACUAGAGACAGAGAGAGGCAGACAAGGAAGGGGGGGGGGGGUGAAAGACUUUCUUUUUCUUUCUAGAGGAAUUCUGCCCAGACUCUGCAGCAGUUGGUAGCAGGCAAGCUUUCUCCUGGGUGUCGCCUUGAAAAGUUGCAAAAUUGCUCUUCACCUGUAAGAACAUGCUCUUUAUCUUCCAGUCUCUUCUUGUCAAUUUGGAAAUUGCAGACUGCCCGGCUCAGGCUGAAGGGCAGUGGCACAAUCUCGGCUCACCGAAGCCUCCACCUCCCAGAUUCAAGCGAUUCUCAUGCCUCAGCUUCCCAAGUAGCUGGGAUUACAGGCUUGUCAAAGAAAAUUUCUUAAUGAAAGCGAUGAUGAUGUCGACCUUAACCUCCAGAAUGAAGAUACUUCAGGACUUAGUCUGAGAAGGCUACCAAGUCAUGAUGGAGAAAAACGUGAAACCACUGAUUCAGUUCAUUGCAAAUUCAUUCUACCAAACCUUACCUGGCUCUUGUUGCUGCUUGGUAGUCCUUUUAUUAAUCUCUUGGAGACUCACUGAUUAGUUUCCUCCAUUGAUCAUCUAAAAGCUUUUUUCAUAUUUUUGAAACUCACUGUUUGAUCUCCCCUUCCCCUUGUACUCGGAAGAUGAUCUUGCUUUCUGCUUUACUGAGAAGUUCAAGGUUAUCUGCAAUCUCCUUCAACUUUUCACUCCUAUCCUAUUUUCUAUUUUCCUUCAUCUCUUGCUUCCUCUGCUCUUUUGUUUUAGGGAAAGAAACAGUCCCUUUAUUUCUAGGUUGAACUCAACUUCUGCAGGACUUUUGUCUGUAAAUUGUACUUCUUUUUUUUUGAGACAGAGUCUCGCUCUGUCACCCAGGCUGGAGUGCAGUGGCAUGAUCUCAGGUCACUGCAACCUCUACCUCCCAGGUUAAAGCAAUUCUCCUGCCUCAGCUUCCUGAGUAGCUGGGAUUACAGGCGCCACUCCCGGCUAAAUUUUUGUAUUUUUAGUAGAGACGGGGUUUGGCUAUGUUGGCCAGGCUGGUCUCAAAUUCCUGACUUCAGGUGAUGCACCCACCUCCGCCCGCCUCGGCCUCCCAAAGUGCUGGCAUUACAGAUGUGAGCCACCGUGCCCAGCUAAAUUGUACCUUCUGUUCCUUAAAAAUCCUAAAAUCCCUUGUUGUAGGUUCUUUAAUUUUGAGAAAGUAAUAAAUAAAGCACAGAGAUUAAUAAGACAAAUAUGCUUGUUUGCAAAACCCAGAAUUGACUGUUAAUAUUAUCAUACACUGGCUUAUCCUUUUUCUAAUAAAAAAGUUUCAGAUAAAGUUGAAGUUCCCCUUGACCUACCUUUUCAGUCCUGUUGCCUGCAUUCCCUCCCUCAAAGCAACCCUAUAUAAUAUCGGCAUGUAUUCUUUGAGGUCAUUAAAGAAUACAUUUAUGUGCCCAUAUACAUAAUAAUGUGUGUGAUUGUUUAGUGGGUAAUUUAAGAAUUUACAUAUUUAAUAUUCACAGUCUAUUUUGUGAUGUUUCUGUCUUCUAUCCAUGCUAGUAUAUGUAGAGCUAUUUGUAAGUUCCCUGAGGGCAGGGACUUUGUCUUGCUCAUUGCUGAAUCUCCAGCACCUAGAAUAGCAUUUGGCAUAUAGCAAACAUUCAAUCUUUCUUCCUUCCUUCCUUCCUUCCUUCCUUCCUUCCUUCUUUCCUUCCUUCCUUUCUUUCUCUCUCUCUUUUUCUUUCUUUCUUUCUUUCUUUUCUUUCUUUCUCUCUCUUUCUCUCUCCCUCUCUCCCUCUCUCCUUUCCUUUCUCUUUCUUUCUUUCUUUAUUCUUCCUUUUUUUUUGUUGACAGGAUCUCACUCUGUCUCCCAGGCUGGAGUGCAUUGGCACCAUCACUGCUCACUGCAACCUCCUCCUUCCAGGCUCAAGCAAUCCUCCCAUUUCAGCCUCCCAAGUGGCUGGGACUACAGGAGUGCACCACCUUGCCUGGAUAAUUUUUUGUAUUUUUUUUUUGGAGAGACAGGGUUUCAGCAUGUUGCCCAGACUGGUCUCAAACUCCUUUGCUCAAGUGUUCCUCCUGCCUUGGCCUCCCAAAGUGCUGGGACUAUAGAUGUGAGCCACUAUGCCAGCCAAUAUAUGUAUAUAUUUCUUAAGUGAGUUAAUAUCAUUCAUUUUUAACUGCUGUGUAGUAAUCAACUGUAUGAAUAUUCCACAUAUCACAUUUUAUUUAUUCAUUCUCCCACCAGUAGACAAUGUGUGCUUUCCUAAUUUCCAUGCUUCUUAUUACAAAUAUUGUUGUGGAACAGCCUUGUACAAGUCUCCUGUGCCUAUGUUUGAGUUGUAUCAGAGUUGGAAUUGCUGCUUGUCACAAAUAAACUUUAAACUAGAUUUAGCCAAAUUGCUUUUCAAAGUUUUCUGGUUUUAAAACAUGUUCAAGAAUUUCUCUCCAUAUUUUUUUCCCUUUGAGUGUUCUAUACCCUGAAACAAUAGUUUUAUUCUUUCUAUCAGUGUUUUAACUUUUCAAGAUGAUAAUCUAUGGCCUUAGGAUCUUCAUGCCUGAUGCUUGAAAGAACUAACCUUUGACUUUUAAGUGAUAUUAGCCAACCUCCCCUUAUAAAGAUAAUUAAUGUAUAAAUACAUAUGUGUAUCUGAGAAAACUAUCACUUUGAUCAUAAAAUUAUUUAAACAAAAUUUGACUACUAUAAUGUUGCUUUUAUGUAACUAAUUGCAAACCAUUUUGUUCUAUAACUACUUAACUAUAUAUCUUUAUAAAUAAAUUUUAAGAUCUUCAAGGGCAUAGUUUGUGUCUUACUCAACUUCUUAUGUCCAUAGCACCUAGAACGUAAUAAAUGGCACAUGUAUAUGGAAAAAUU
rnacentral:lncRNA from 1 species